AUUGAACGCUGGCGGCAGGCCUAACACAUGCAAGUAGAGCGGAUGAAGGGAGCUUGCUCCUGGAUUCAGCGGCGGACGGGUGAGUAAUGCCUAGGAAUCUGCCUGGUAGUGGGGGAUAACGUCCGGAAACGGGCGCUAAUACCGCAUACGUCCUGAGGGAGAAAGUGGGGGAUCUUCGGACCUCACGCUAUCAGAUGAGCCUAGGUCGGAUUAGCUAGUUGGUGGGGUAAAGGCCUACCAAGGCGACGAUCCGUAACUGGUCUGAGAGGAUGAUCAGUCACACUGGAACUGAGACACGGUCCAGACUCCUACGGGAGGCAGCAGUGGGGAAUAUUGGACAAUGGGCGAAAGCCUGAUCCAGCCAUGCCGCGUGUGUGAAGAAGGUCUUCGGAUUGUAAAGCACUUUUAGUUGGGAGGAAGGGCAGUAAGUUAAUACCUUGCUGUUUUGACGUUACCAACAGAAUAAGCACCGGCUAACUUCGUG
rnacentral:rRNA from 1 species